AGAGCGAACGCUGGCGGCAGGCCUAACACAUGCAAGUCGAGCGCCCGUAGCAAUACGGGAGCGGCAGACGGGAUAGUAACACGUGGGAACGCGCCCUUCGGUUCGGAAUAACUCAGGGAAACUUGAGCUAAUACCGGAUACGCCCUUACGGGGAAAGAUUUAUUGCCGAAGGAACGGCCCGCGUCCGAUUAGCUAGUUGGUGAGGUAAUGGCUCACCAAGGCGACGAUCGGUAGCUGGUCUGAGAGGAUGACCAGCAUCACUGGGACUGAGACACGGCCCAGACUCCUACGGGAGGCAGCAGUUAGGAAUUUUCCGCAAUGGGCGAAAGCCUGACGGAGCAACGCCGCGUGAGUGAUGAAGACCUUCGGGUUGUAAAGCUCUGUCGGAGGGGAGAACACAAUGACGGUACCCUCCAAGAAACGCCCCGGCUAACUACGUGCCAGCAGCCGC
rnacentral:rRNA from 1 species